rnacentral:snRNA from 1 species
GUGCCCGAAACUAAUGAGUAAGGAAAAUUACCGGGUCUUGCUAACACUUGACCCACAUUGAGGAGCAUUUCGGGCUCCUCAGGGAAUUUUUUGUCGGGGUACAGGUCGUCCUAGGGGCCCACGCCUACUUUUUACUGACCAUUUGUUUUUUGCCUAUAUC